GACGAACGCUGGCGGCGUGCCUAAUACAUGCAAGUCGAACGCAGUGGGGACGGGUGAGUAACACGUGGGUAACCUCCCAUCAGAGGGGAUAACACUUGGAAACAGGUGCUAAAUCGAUAUUGAUGGAUGGACCCGCGGUGCAUUAGCUAGUUGGUGGGGAAACGGCUCACCUAGGCCACGAUGCAUAGCCGACCUGAGAGGGUGAUCGGACAAACUGGGACUGAGAAACGGCCCAGACUCCUACGGGAGGAAGAAGUAGGGAAUCUUGGGCAAUGGGCGAAAGUCUGACGGAGCAACGCCGCGUGGGUGAAGAAGGUUUUCGGGUCGUAAAACACUGUUGUUAGGGAAGCGGUAUCUAACCAGAAAGCCACGGCUAACUACGUGCCAGCAGCCGCGGUAAUUC
rnacentral:rRNA from 1 species